rnacentral:rRNA from 1 species
ACUCAAAGGAAUAGACGGGGGCCCGCACAAGCGGUGGAGCAUGUGGUUUAAUUCGAUGCAACGCGAAGAACCUUACCUACCCUUGACAUCCCACGAAGUCUGCAGAGAUGCGGAUGUGCCGAAAGGAACGUGGAGACAGGUGCUGCAUGGCUGUCGUCAGCUCGUGUUGUGAGAUGUUGGGUUAAGUCCCGUAACGAGCGCAACCCUUAUCCUUAGUUGCCAACAUGUAAAGGUGGGGACUCUAAGGAGACUGCUGGUGAAGAACCGGAGGAAGGCGGGGACGACGUCAAGUCAUCAUGGCCUUUAUGGGUAGGGCUACACACGUGCUACAAUGGGACCCACAGAGGGAAGCGAAGCAGCGAUGCGGAGCCAAUCUCUUAAAAGGUCUCGUAGUCCGGAUUGGAGUCUGCAACUCGACUCCAUGAAGUUGGAAUCGCUAGUAAUCGCGAAUCAGAAUGUCGCGGUGAAUACGUUCCCGGGCCUUGUACACACCGCCCGU